rnacentral:rRNA from 1 species
GACGAACGCUGGCGGCGUGCUUAACACAUGCAAGUCGAACGGGUCUGCCCUGUUUUUUGCGGGGUGGGUCAGUGGCGAACGGGUGAGUAACACGUGAGUAACCUGCCCCUCACUUCUGGAUAACCGCUUGAAAGGGUGGCUAAUACGGGGUGUUCUGGCUGUGCCGCAUGGUGUGGCUGGGAAAGAUUCACUUUUGUGGUGUUUUGGUGGGGGUUGGGCUCGCGGCCUAUCAGCUUGUUGGUGGGGUGAUGGCCUGCCAAGGCUUUGACGGGUAGCCGGCCUGAGAGGGUGGGCGGUCACACUGGGACUGAGAUACGGCCCAGACUCCUGCGGGAGGCAGCAGUGGGGGGUAUUGCACAAUGGGCGGAAGCCUGAUGCAGCGACGUCGCGUGAGGGAUGGAGGCCUUCGGGUUGUGAACCUCUUUCGCCGGUGAAGAAGGUCCUGCUCUUUGUGGUGGGGUUGACGGUAGCCGGGUUAUGAAGCGCCGGCUAACUACGUG